rnacentral:rRNA from 1 species
AUUGAACGCUGGCGGCAGGCCUAACACAUGCAAGUCGAACGAGUGGCGGACGGGUGAGUAAUGUCUGGGAAACUGCCUGAUGGAGGGGGAUAACUACUGGAAACGGUAGCUAAUCCCGCAUACCAUCGGAUGUGCCCAGAUGGGAUUAGCUAGUAGGGGGGGUAAAGGCUCACCUCGGCGACGAUCCCUAGCUGGUCUGAGAGGAUGACCAGCCACACUGGAACUGAGACACGGGCCAGACGCCUACGGGAGGCAGCAGUGGGGAAUAUUGCACAAGGGGCGGAAGCCUGACGGAGCUAUGCCGCGUGUAUGAAGAAGGCCUUCGGGUUGUAAAGUACUUUCAGCGGGGAGGCGUUACCCGCAGAAGAAGCACCGGCUAACUCCGUGCCAGCAGCCGCGGUAAUUC